UGUGGCUAUAGUUGAGUGGUAAGAAAUCUACGUUGUGGCCGUGGAGACCUGGACUCGAAUCCCCAGCAGCCACAA
rnacentral:tRNA from 1 species